UUGACAUUUACCUAGGCACAGCUCACAGGCAUGAUAAUGACUCUCAUAUGUGGACCCCACAAGUAGGAGUAAUUUUGACUCUUGUAACUUGCUUUAGAAACAUAAGUGAUGUCUUAGAUCUCUUUCUGGCGAAAAGGUCACAGAAGAUUAUAACAGCCUCAGAUAAUUUGCAGCCCUUGGCUUGUACAGAGAGUGUCAGAACAGAACCCAGCAGAAAGGAGAAAUUGUGAGUCUCAUAUGUACACCCAGCUGACUGUAAGGACUGUCACCAUCUUACAUACAUGAAGCCAACUGUCACACAUGAAAAGAGGACAUGUGUGGUAUUGUAAAUCUCAUCUCGAAUAUUCUCUCAGUGUGACUGUGAUAUAAAUCUUUGCCAAGCAUCUGUGUGAUUUGACUCUCCAAACUGGUUCCAGCCCAUAUAUACGGGAUUGUGAUCUCUACCUGGGCCAACCUCUAGAUAAUGUGACUCUCCUGCCUGGGCCCUUCUCUCAGUAAGGGUUGUGACAUAUCACUGGAUCUAACACCCAAGUGAUGUUACAUUCUUGCCUGGACCAUGCACAGAGACAUCAUUGUGACAUAUCACUGUGUCCACCACUUAGGUGAUGUAACUCUCCUCUCUGGAAUGGACCCUGAAUACGGAGUGGUAGUGACAUCUUCCUAGGCCAGACACACAGGUGUUGGUACUCUUUUUCCAGGGCUAUGUUUCAAGGAGGGCAUUGUGACAUAUCUCUGGACCUAUCACCGAGGUGAUAUGAUUCAACGCUUGGGCCUCACCGACGUAGAACAUUGUGACAUAAAAGUUAAACCUGCACCAAAGGUGUUGUAACUCUUUCACCUUGGUCCUGUCCUAAGGGAGCCCUGCAACAUAUCUCAGGACCCAGCACUCAGGAACAUUGUGACAUCGUUGGACAUAGCAUCUAGGAAAUGUGACUCUUCUCUCCUGCCUAGGUCCUGCCCACUAAAGGAAUUGUGACAUACCACUGAGUGCAAAACCUAGCCCUGUCUACAGUGGACAUGGUACCACAUGACUUGAGGCUGUAUCCAGGUGAUGUGACUCUUCUGACUUGGCCCUGCCUGCAAAGGAAAUUAUAAUAUAUCCUGAGCUCAGAAUCCAGGCGAUGAGACUCUCCUGCCUCUUUUCUGCCCACAAGUGAAAUUGUGACUUAUACCUGCGUUCAGCUCACAUGCACAAAUAUAACUAUUAUACCUGGACCCAGAAAGGAGAGAUAUUUGGACUCUUAUAGCCAGUCCUAUGGCCAUAAGUAAAGUAAAGGGUCCCCUGUUUGUAUAAAGCUCACAGAGGAUUAUGACACUCAGGCACAUCAUAUAAAGCCUGAGUGGUACAAAGAGUGUCAUAGCAGGGAACAGCAACCAGGUGCGAUUGUGACUCUUGGAUGCUCACCCAGCUGACCCGAUUGUCAUUCUCUCACAAGAACAGGGCCUACAUACAAGGCCAUGACCAUAGAUGAAAUUUUGACAUACGUGGACCAUACACCUAAGCGAAGGUGCCUGGGCCUGCCUACAAAGGGCACUUUUACGUAUUACUAGGACCAGCACGCAGCAUCUGGUGCUUCUGCUGGAGCAAUGUUAAUUGAAGCUCCGGCAAAGCGAGAAAGCUGCUUGAUGUGCUUGGCCCUGCUUGCCGAUGAUGACACCGACUGAUAGAGCCUGGAUAAACAGAUGAACAGUCUCCGUUUCUGAUUGCUCAAACUGCGGCUUUGGCACAUGCCUCAACAUUGCCUUUAACUGUAAUGGUGCGUUCUGGAUUAUACAGCGUCAAUUCCUGAAAGCACCUUGAUGGCCUUGAGGGCCCAGCUCUCCUCUGGGCAGUCCAUGAACGCAUAGCCAGUCUUCACCAGGAAGGAUCCCAACACUGGGAUCUUGGCGUCCUUGAAGAUACUUUCUAGGUCCAAGGGGACGGCGUUCUCGUGGAGGUUUCCGAUAUACAGUUUGUUCAUUGUGAAGAAUGGUUGUUUAAAAAAAUUAACGAGAAGAACGAGAAAUUAAAACCACCCAUGGUGAUGGAUGGAUCCAGCUGGUUUUGUUGCUCUCAUCUUCUCACCUUUAAAAUACACAAACACAGAAAGAACCAAGCACAAGAACAAGGAGUGAAAAAUCAGAUCCGAGGCUUGUUUUUCCUUGUCCUAGAUAUGUUUUAAAAGAGAAAGAAAAGAAAAAGCCUAGCUACAACCCAAAUGCAUCAACCAGUCUUCCUAAGUCUCGCUUUUGAAUAAUUUUCAAAUGAGAUGUACACCUAAAUUUUAAGAGUGUUUGAGUUUGUGUUUGCUUUAGUGGUGCUUUAUAUCUGUCUGAUUGUAAGCAUAAUGUUCAUGGAAAGAGACUUUUGGUAGGAAUCAAACUGGGACUCUUACAAUGGCUUAAGUCCAUCAGAAUAGUUCUGAUGCUACUUAGGAGCAUCAGAACUCCUUUCUUUGCCUGAUUUUUCAACUUAUUUCUUAAUUGGAACCCCAUAAAGAACAUGAAUGGUCUUCUGAUAUCCUUAAUGUCUUAGAGUUAUAUCAAUAUUUUGCU
rnacentral:lncRNA from 1 species